rnacentral:lncRNA from 1 species
ACAGAAUAAAAAUUUUAAGGAACACAUUUGGAUUUUGGAAAAAAUACUAGCUUAUAUACCAGAACUCACAUUGAAGCGACUGCUUAAACCGUUACUAAGAUAUAUGAAAAUAAAAUUGUGAAUGAAAAAUUAGCAUCCAUAACCAUAACCACCUUGCUUAUGAUGCAAAAACCCGAACAGAUAAAUAAUUUGGUAAUCAAGGAUUUUUAAGGUCAAGAAACUUCAUUCAUCAAACAUGAUACACUAAAUAAUAUACAAUGCUAAUGAUUAUAGAGGCCUUCCCAUAAUCUUCACACAAAACAAAUACUAAAACAAAGAAGAAAGGUCAUCACACAACUAUCAAAAGAGUGGGAAAACAAUCAGCAAGAUGUAAACAAAAUCCCCAAAUUCUGAUAUCAACUCAAACUAGCUCAUAAUGAUACACUAAAUUAACUACUGAUCAGACAAAGAGUCACUUCCAUUUUGCUGUUUUUGGUGUAAAUUUGAAAUACAAUCAGUUUAAGAUUAAUAACCAAAAUCAUUGCAAGUUCCAAACACCCAAAUGAAAAAAGAUUCAAAAUUUAUUGGCCAAACCAAUCCCCAGCAUCUACAAACCCUGAUUCCCAUUUCCCAAAUCACCUAAAACAAUGUGUGAGAAAAGAGGAUGAAGAAGAAGUGGUCAUUGAAAAUUGAACCUUUGAUUGUGAAGAAACUCACCUGAAUUUGGGAAGAACAAGGUGAAGGGUCACAGUGGCAGCGCGGAAGAGCACAAUUGAGAUUGAGACUCUGGAAGAAACAGUGUGAGAAUUAAAGAGAUGAGAAGAACGAAAGAGUCUUCAAAACGCACCGUUUUGGUUUUUUUUU